GUUGAACGCUGGCGGCAGGCCUAACACAUGCAAGUCGAACGAGUGGCGGACGGGUGAGUAAUGUCUAUGAAACUGCCUGAUGGCUGGGGAUAACUACUGGAAACGGUCGCUAAUACCGCAUACCAUCCGAUGUUCCCAGAUGGGAUUAGCUAGUUGGUGGGGUAACGGCUCACCAAGGCGACGAUCCAUAGCUGGUCUGAGAGGAUGACCGGCCACACUGGAACUGAGACACGGUCCAGACUCCUACGGGAGGCAGCAGUGGGGAAUAUUGCACAAUGGGCGCAAGCCUGAUGCAGCAAUGCCGCGUGUAUGAAGAAGGCCUUCGGGUUGUAAAGUACUUUCAGCGGGGAGGCGUUACCCGCAGAAGAAGCAACGGCUAACUCCGUGCCAGCAGCCGCGGUAAUAC
rnacentral:rRNA from 1 species